rfam:Oryza sativa Japonica Group DNA, chromosome 4, cultivar: Nipponbare, complete sequence.
AAUAAGUGCAAUUUUGUACUAUUCAUCUUCAACGUUUGACCGUUCAUCUUAUGUGAAAAUUUUUAUGAUUACUAUUUUUAUUAUUAUUAAAUGAUAAAAUAUGAAUAGUAUUUUAUGUGUGACUAUUCUUUAAAAAAGUUUUUAUAAAUAUUUUAAAUAAGACGGACGGUCAAAUGUUGGACAAAGAUUUACA